AGGAGGCAGCCACAUGGCCCCGCUGUGCUCUAUGGCUUUUUAUUCCUAUGUGAUCCUGCUGCUCACUCAUAUAGGGAUUGGAGCCGUGCAACACGGAGGGGGGAGGCAGCGGAGAGCAGA
rnacentral:pre_miRNA from 13 species